CUAAGGUAGCGAAAUUCCUUGUCGGGUAAGUUCCGACCUGCACGAAUGGCGUAAUGAUGGCCACACUGUCUCCACCCAAGGCUCAGUGAAAUUGAAGUUGCUGUUAAGAUGCAGUGUACCCGCGGCUAGACGGAAAGACCCCGUGAACCUUUACUAUAGCUUCACACUGGACUUUGACUGUACUUGUGUAGGAUAGGUGGGAGACUGUGAAAGCAUCGCGCCAGCGUUGCCGGAGUCAACCUUGAAAUACCACCCUGGUGCUGUUGAGGUUCUAACCCAGGUCCCUUGACGGGAUCGGGGACAGUGUGUGGUGGGUAGUUUGACUGGGGCGGUCUCCUCCUAAAGAGUAACGGAGGAGCACGAAGGUACCCUAAGGGCGGUUGGAAAUCGUCUGUAUUGUGUAAUGGCGUAAGGGUGCUUGACUGCGAGAGUGACGAUUCGAGCAGGAGCGAAAGCUGGUCAUAGUGAUCCGGUGGUUCUGUAUGGAAGGGCCAUCGCUCAACGGAUAAAAGGUACUCCGGGGAUAACAGGCUGAUACCGCCCAAGAGUUCACAUCGACGGCGGUGUUUGGCACCUCGAUGUCGGCUCAUCACAUCCUGGGGCUGAAGCAGGUCCCAAGGGUAUGGCUGUUCGCCAUUUAAAGUGGUACGCGAGCUGGGUUUAGAACGUCGUGAGACAGUUCGGUCCCUAUCUGCCGUGGGCGCAGGAGAUUUGCGAAGAGUUGCCCCUAGUACGAGAGGACCGGGGUGAACGAACCGCUGGUGUUCGGGUUGUCUCGCCAGAGGCAUUGCCCGGUAGCUAUGUUCGGACGGGAUAACCGCUGAAGGCAUCUAAGCGGGAAGCCUCCUUCAAGACUAGAUCUCCCUGAGAGCCCAAGCUUCGGCUUAGUCUCUCCUGAAGUGCCGUUGAAGACGACGACGUUGAUAGGCCGGGUGUGUAAGCGCUGUGAGGCGUUGAGCUAACCGGUACUAAUUGCACGUGAGGCUUGAUCGC
rnacentral:rRNA from 1 species